rnacentral:rRNA from 1 species
AUUGAACGCUGGCGGCAUGCCUUACACAUGCAAGUCGAACGGCAGCAUGGGAGCAAUCCUGGUGGCGAGUGGCGAACGGGUGAGUAAUAUAUCGGAACGUGCCCAGUCGUGGGGGAUAACGUAGCGAAAGCUACGCUAAUACCGCAUACGAUCUAUGGAUGAAAGCGGGGGAUCGCAAGACCUCGCGCGAUUGGAGCGGCCGAUAUCAGAUUAGGUAGUUGGUGAGGUAAAGGCUCACCAAGCCGACGAUCUGUAGCUGGUCUGAGAGGACGACCAGCCACACUGGGACUGAGACACGGCCCAGACUCCUACGGGAGGCAGCAGUGGGGAAUUUUUGGACAAAUGGGCGCAAGCCUGAUCCAGCAAAUGCCGCGUGCAGGAUGAAGGCCUCGG